AAAACAUAGUAUAACUAUAAUACAUCUCAUUUACACUGAGAAAAUACUUAAAGUUGAGUUGUUUU
rnacentral:tRNA from 1 species